rnacentral:misc_RNA from 1 species
UCUGGGUUUAUCCCAGCGGUCCCGUCAGAAAAAUAUAACUGACGGCGAGGGUUGCGCUCGUUGCGGGACUUAACCCAACACCUCACGGCACGAGCUGACGACAGCCAUGCACCACCUGUGAUCCGGCCCCGAAGGGAAGCCCUGCUUCCAGGGCGGUCCGGAACAUGUCAAGCCCAGGUAAGGUUCUUCGCGUUGCGUCGAAUUAAACCACAUACUCCACCGCUUGUGCAGGCCCCCGUCAAUUUCUUUGAGUUUUAAUCUUGCGACCGUACUUCCCAGGCGGCACGUUUAUCGCGUUAGCUUCGCCACAAAAGGGGUCGAUUCCUUUUACAGCAAACGUGCACCGUUUACAGCCAGGACUAC